rnacentral:rRNA from 1 species
CCCAGUAAACGGCGGCCGUAACUAUAACGGUCCUAAGGUAGCGAAAUUCCUUGUCAGGUAAGUUCUGACCCGCACGAAUGGCGUAAUGACUUGGGCACUGUCUCAACUGCAAAUCCGGCGAAGUUGUAGUGCGAGUGAAGAUGCUCGCUACCCGCGAUUGGACGGAAAGACCCCGUAGAGCUUUACUGUAGCUUAGCAUUGAAUUCCGGUAUUGUCUGUACAGGAUAGGUGGGAGACUGGGAAACUAGGGCGUCAGCCUUAGUGGAGUCAUCCUUGGGAUACCACCCUGACAGUACUGGGGUUCUAACAGGAUGCCAUGAAUCUGGUGACUGGACAUUGUUAGGUGGGCAGUUUGACUGGGGCGGUCGCCUCCUAAAAAGUAACGGAGGCGCCCAAAGGUUCCCUCAGAACGGUCGGAAAUCGUUCGUAGAGUGCAAAGGCAGAAGGGAGCCUGACUGCGAGACCUACAAGUCGAGCAGGGACGAAAGUCGGGCUUAGUGAUCCGGUGGUACCUCGUGGGAGGGCCAUCGCUCAACGGAUAAAAGCUACCUCGGGGAUAACAGGCUGAUCUCCCCCAAGAGUCCACAUCGACGGGGAGGUUUGGCACCUCGAUGUCGGCUCGUCGCAUCCUGGGGCUGUAGUAGGUCCCAAGGGUUGGGCUGUUCGCCCAUUAAAGCGGUACGCGAGCUGGGUUCAGAACGUCGUGAGACAGUUCGGUCCCUAUCCGGCGUGGGCGUAGGAUAUUUGAGAGGAGCUGUCCUUAGUACGAGAGGACCGGGAUGGACUGACCUCUGGUGCACCAGUUGUUCUGCCAAGAGCAUGGCUGGGUAGCUAAGUCGGGAAGGGAUAAACGCUGAAAGCAUCUAAGCGUGAAGCCUCCCUCAAGAUGAGAUUUCCCAUAGUCGAAAGACUAGUAAGACCCCUUGAAGAACACGAGGUUGAUAGGUCAGAGGUGUAAGUGUGGUAACAUAUUUAGCUGACUGAUACUAAUAGGUCGAGGGCUUGACCAA